GUGAGUGAGAUACGAGACUUUUUCUAACCAAUGGAAGAUGGCAAAGAUGUGUGAGUCACAUCCUUGAGUACGUUUUGUUAGAAUGUCACGUUUGUGAUUAUGUUAUGUCACUUUAUACAAGGCUCUGUCUCCCUAGGAUCUUUCCUUGCUGGCUUGAUGAAUUAAGCCAGGUGGAAAGGUUUUCUUUAAGUGUGCAGCCUCAAGCCGACAGCCAGCAAGGAAUAAAAGCCCUAUAUACCACAACCUAAGAAAAUAAAUUCUUCCAACAACCUGAGUAAGCUUGGAAGCAGAUUCUUCUCCAAACUCCCAGAUGAGAACACACGCAGGCUGACUCUUGAGUCCAGCCUUGUGGAACCCAGAGCAGAGGGCCCAGAAGUACAGAGAAGUUUUCUGUAAAAUGGAAAUGAGUAUCAUGAAGUUUUAAAUGAACAGUGUAAAACAGAAGACAUCAGCAUUCAUUAGGUCCCAGACCUCUUCGAGAAUCUGAUGAAAUUCUGGACAACCUCUCACUCCCACAAACAAGAUGUACUUGAAUACCUACACAUAAAAUGUUGCAUUCAAUUUUAGAAUGUGAAGAGAUCACUUGAAGCCUAUCCAGAGGCCUCUAAGGUAGGACGUGACUGGUGCGGUAUUGGUGGCUGCUGGGUCAGAUGAGCUCCCUGCUACUCCAAGAAACAAUAAAUGUUUGCAGCCACUAAGAUUUGGGGGGACUUUUGUUAUUACUGCCUAUCCUGACAGAUCCAGGUGCUACGACUAUUUAAGGGGUGACAGGAUCUCACUCGGGCACCUAGAUGGGAGUGCAGUGGCAUGAACUCCUGGGCUCAGAUGUCCUCCCACCUCAACCUUCUGAGUAGCUGGAAUUACAGGAAUGAACCACCAC
rnacentral:lncRNA from 1 species